rnacentral:rRNA from 1 species
GUAGGUGGCAAGCGUUGUCCGGAAUUAUUGGGCGUAAAGCGCGCGCAGGCGGGUCUUUAAGUCUGAUGUGAAAGACCCACGGGCUCAACCGUGGAGGGGUCAUUGGAAACUGGAGAACUUGAGUACAGAAGAGGAAAGCGGAAUUCCACGUGUAGCGGUGAAAUGCGUAGAGAUGUGGAGGAACACCAGUGGCGAAGGCGGCUUUCUGGUCUGUAACUGACGCUGAGGCGCGAAAGCGUGGGGAGCAAACAGGAUUAGAUACCCUGGUAGUCCACGCCGUAAACGAUGAGUGCUAAGUGUUAGGGGGUUUCCGCCCCUUAGUGCUGCAGCUAACGCAUUAAGCACUCCGCCUGGGGAGUACGGCCGCAAGGCUG